CCUACGGGUGGCAGCAGUAGGGAAUUCUGCGCAAUGGGCGAAAGCCUGACGCAGCAACGCCGCGUGAUCGAGACGCCCUUCGGGGUGGAAAGAUCUGUCAGUGGGGACGAAACUUGACGGUACCCACAGAGGAAGCCCCGGCUAACUCCGUGCCAGCAGCCGCGGUAAUACGGGGGGUGCAAGCGUUGUCCGGAAUCAUUGGGCGUAAAGAGAUCGUAGGCGGCGCGUAAAGUCUGGUGUUAAAGGCAGAGGCUCAACUUCUGUACGGCACUGGAUACUGGCGAGCUAGAAUGCGGUAGAGGUAAAGGGAAUUCCUGGUGUAGCGGUGAAAUGCGUAGAUAUCAGGAGGAACAUCGGUGGCGUAGGCGCUUUACUGGGCCGUAAUUGACGCUGAGGAACGAAAGCCAGGGUAGCAAAUGGGAUUAGAUACCCCAGUAGUC
rnacentral:rRNA from 1 species